rnacentral:rRNA from 1 species
UGCCCAGUCGUGGGGGAUAACGCAGCGAAAGCUGUGCUAAUACCGCAUACGAUCCAAGGAUGAAAGCGGGGGACUCGCAAGGGCCUCGCGCGAUUGGAGCGGCCGAUGGCAGAUUAGGUAGUUGGUGGGGUAAAGGCUCACCAAGCCUGCGAUCUGUAGCUGGUCUGAGAGGACGACCAGCCACACUGGGACUGAGACACGGCCCAGACUCCUACGGGAGGCAGCAGUGGGGAAUUUUGGACAAUGGGCGCAAGCCUGAUCCAGCCAUUCCGCGUGCAGGAUGAAGGCCUUCGGGUUGUAAACUGCUUUUGUACGGAACGAAAAGGCUCUGGUGAAUACCCGGGCCUCAUGACGGUACCGUAAGAAUAAGCACCGGCUAACUACGUGCCAGCAGCCGCGGUA